rnacentral:rRNA from 1 species
GACGAACGCUGGCGGCGUGCUUAACACAUGCAAGUCGAACGGAAAGGCCCUGCUUUUGCUUCUUGCUCGAGUGGCGAACGGGUGUGUAACACGUGAGUAACCUGCCCUUGACUUUGGGAUAACUUCAGGAAACUGGGGCUCAUACCGGAUAGGAGCUCCUGCUGCGUGUUGGGGGUUGGUAAGUUUCGGCGGUUGUGGAUGGACUCGCGGCUUAUCAGCUUCUUUGUGGGGUAGUUGCUUACCAAGGCUUUGAAGGGUAGCCGGCCUGAGAGUGUGACCGGCCACAUUGGGACUGAGAUACGGCGCAGACUCCUACGGGAGGCAGUAGUGGGGAAUAUUGCACAAUGGGCGGAAGUCUGAUGCAGCAACGCCGCGUGCGGGAUGACGGCCUUCGGGUUGUAAACAGCUUUCUCCUGUGACGAAGCGUGAGUGACGGUAAUGGGUAAAGAAGCACCGGCUAACUACGUG